UACGUAGGGGGCAAGCGUUGUCCGGAAUUAUUGGGCGUAAAGGGCACGCAGGCGGUGGUUUAAGUUUGGUGUUUAAGCCCAGGGCUCAACCCUGGUACGCACUGAAAACUGGAUCACUUGAGUGCAGAAGAGGAGAGUGGAAUUCCACGUGUAGCGGUGAAAUGCGUAGAUAUGUGGAGGAACACCAGUGGCGAAGGCGACUCUCUGGUCUGUAACUGACGCUGAGGUGCGAAAGCGUGGGUAGCAAACAGG
rnacentral:rRNA from 1 species